GAACGGGUGAGUAACACGUGGGUGAUCUGCCCCCUACUCUGGGAUAAGCCUGGGAAACUGGGUCUAAUACCGGAUAUGACCUUGGGCUUCAUGGUUCUUGGUGGAAAGUUUUUUCGGUAGGGGAUGAGCCCGCGGCCUAUCAGCUUGUUGGUGGGGUAAUGGCCUACCAAGGCGACGACGGGUAGCCGGCCUGAGAGGGCGACCGGCCACACUGGGACUGAGACACGGCCCAGACUCCUACGGGAGGCAGCAGUGGGGAAUAUUGCACAAUGGGCGAAAGCCUGAUGCAGCGACGCCGCGUGGGGGAUGACGGCCUUCGGGUUGUAAACCCCUUUCAGUCGGGACGAAGCGAGAGUGACGGU
rnacentral:rRNA from 1 species